rnacentral:lncRNA from 1 species
CUUAAUUGGAACAUAAAUGGAGGUUGGACUUUGUGCUGGCUCUCUGCGUUCAAAUGAGUAGCAUCCUAAGGAUUGAGACCCUGUUUCAGCCUGCUGACUUAUGUUUCAUGGAAACAAAAGACCAACAGAGUUGCACUCUGUUUCAAAAACUAAAAGUUCAAACAAAGAGAAAUAGUAAAUCAAGAUGUCUACAGCAUCACCUGCAAUGGUCUAAUGCAAUACUAAGUUACACAAAGAAACGCGAACAAACCUUCAGAGAUGGAAGCAAAGAAGAGGACUUAAAGGAAACCAGCAAACCAUCCCAUUCUCCUUUAAAAUCUAAACAGAAACAGCUUUUAAAAAAUGUUUAGAGCAAAUCUUGCAAGACAUCCCCAUGAAACCAUCAGCAUCAAGGAUUUAGCUUUAAAAGUGACUAGGAAAAAGAUUCCAUGUAAACAAUGCAGAAAUAUAUUUAAAUCAACUCUUAAUACACAAUGGAAG